rnacentral:rRNA from 1 species
UACAGAGGGUGCGAGCGUUAAUCGGAAUUACUGGGCGUAAAGCGUGCGUAGACGGUAGCGUAAGUCAGAUGUGAAAGCCCCGGGCUCAACCUGGGAACUGCAUUUGAGACUGCUCUGCUCGGGUGCGGAAGAGGGAAGCGGAAUUUCCGGUGUAGCGGUGAAAUGCGCAGAUAUCAGGAGGAACACCGGUGGCGAAGGCGGGUCUCUGGGCCGAUGACUGACGCUGAGGAGCGAAAGCGUGGGGAGCGAACAGG